rnacentral:rRNA from 1 species
UACGGAGGGUGCAAGCGUUAAUCGGAAUUACUGGGCGUAAAGCGUGCGCAGGCGGUUUGUUAAGUCCGUUGUGAAAGUCCCGAGCUCAACUUGGGAAUUGCAGUGGAUACUGGCAGGCUGGAGUACGGUAGAGGAAGGUGGAAUUCCCGGUGUAGCAGUGAAAUGCGUAGAUAUCGGGAGGAACACCAGUGGCGAAGGCGGCCUUCUGGACCAGUACUGACGCUCAUGCACGAAAGCGUGGGGAGCAAACAGG